rnacentral:lncRNA from 1 species
GGUAGCGUCUGUGACAGCUGGGGACUCAGUGAAAAUGUUGACCCAGCCUCCUAGACCAUUAUCUGAAAUGAUCCUACGUAAUCUUGUGAGCACUGAAGAUUGAAGUCCCAUGUGGGUGAUGAGUGGGGUAGGAGGGGACAUUUGGAAUGGCAGGUUUCACUAGGGUGGUUUCAAGGCACACUAAACACAGACAAGCCAGGGUCAAAAGGAGACUUUGUCCAUGAGUCGAGGGACAUCAGAGAAGAACUGAAAAAAGAAGCAGAGUCUGAGAGAGCAGGUCCUGUGCCUUAGGCUCCUCCCCGAUGCCCUAUAGGCCAGUGGAGUAUUUCAAUUUACCUUCUGGACAGAUACCUGCUUGGGACAAACAGAUGUACCGAAGCCGCUCAGAGUGAACACAGGACAGCCUGCACAAGGAUUUGAAAACAGCAUUAAAGUGGAAAUGAUAGUUGGUGGUGGUUCACUUCAAUGAAUGAGGAAAACAACCAACAAACAGAAGAGGGGAGCAAGCCAAAGCGCCAGAGUGUGAAGACUCUUUCUCCUCACUCUUCUGAACCUUGCCUUCUCUUCCACAAGGAAGUAAUUUCUUAUGAGAUUCCCAAGGCCUAAUUUGAACGCUGCCCUGUUGUCUCCUGAAACCUUCCUGGCGCCUCUUCCAAAGACCUCCCAUGAUCUUACUAGCCUUUUUAUCCCUGUCUGUAACAGAAUUGACCAAAAGCGUGGUGAACUGUGUUUCGGGCCUGGCUCAGGACAGACUGCUAACUGCAGGGGAAAUUCCUGCUCAGAAGCCAGCUAUAAUCCAGCCUUGUGUGAUCCAUGGCUGGGGCAUCAGUGGCUGAGCAAACCCAGCCCCAAAGAAUGCAAGGAAUGUGAGAAAUUCUGCUUGGGAGUCCUGAUAUACUGAACAGAGUUCAAAAACAAUUUCCUCUAUGCUCCUUUUGAAAUGGAAAAAAAAAGGGGGGGACUGCAAACAUCCAUACUCUAUAGAGAAAUAAUAUCACCCAUGUUGCCACCUUUUGAGACCUCAGAAGACCCAGGUCCCCAUCCCAUAAGUGUCCUCUCUUACUGUAAAGCUACCUUAUCAAUGACCCUCUUGCUUUUCAUCAUAAUUUUGCCACUUUCAACUGCAUCCAUAAACAGCAUAUGUUUUUAAAUUCUUCAUUUUGUUUGUAUGUGUACAUUUUUCUAUGCUUUCUGGUACAUGUGUAUACAUAGUGUGUGGGCAUGUCUGAGGGGUGGGGGAACUGGAG